rnacentral:rRNA from 1 species
ACCCUACUAUACCUGACUGUAACACAACAAUCAGACAACCAAUUGUUCGCCAAAUAACUACGAGUAUAAACUUAAAAUUUAAAAGACUUGACGGUACUUCACAACAACCUAGAGGAGCCUGUCUAAUAACCGAUACCCCACGAUUAACCUAACCCACUUUAGCCCAACAGUCUAUAUACCGCCGUCGCCAGCUUACCUUGUGAAAGAAAUAGAGUGAGCAAAAUAGACCCCCCCUAACACGACAGGUCGAGGUGUAACCUAUGAGCGGGUAAAAGAUGGGCUACAUUUUCUAACACAGAAAACACGAACAAACUAUGAAACUAGAAACUGAAGGCGGAUUUAGCAGUAUGUUAAGGAUAGAAUACUCAACUGAAACCAACGCAAUGAAGUGCGCACACACCGCCCGUCAUCCCUG